ACUUGUAUAGUUUAAUAUAUAAAACAUUGCACUUUCAUUGUAAAAAUACACACAAGUU
rnacentral:tRNA from 1 species